ACGACCUUACUUGAACAGGAUCUGUUCUGUAGGCUGUAUUUUUGCUAUAUUUUUGUUUGUUAUGGGACGAGACUUGGCAUAACUGAUAUAGUUGAUGCCAUGUAAUAGCAAGUCACGGGUUCGAAAAAUACAUGGGACCAGAGCGUGAUUAACAGCCCCUAAGGCCCUCGGGUCAUGGUGCCGUAGAUGAUCAUUCUCGGCUCCAUCAUUGGUGCUGGGAUGGUCUAAUGGCUGUCUGACAGAGU
rnacentral:snoRNA from 1 species